rnacentral:rRNA from 1 species
AGCAGCCGUGGUAAUUCCAGCUCCAAUAGCGUAUAUUAAAGUUGUUGCAGUUAAAAAGCUCGUAGUUGAAUUUCGGGAUCAAUACGUCGGUCGUGCUUCGGUACGUACUGGCGUCAUUGAUUUCUCCCUUCUGACGAACCAUGAUGUCAUUAACUUGGUGUCAUGGGAAAUCAGGACUGUUACUUUGAAAAAAUUAGAGUGUUUAAAGCAGGCUCACGCUUGAAUACAUUAGCAUGGAAUAAUGAAAUAGGACGUUUGAUUCUAUUUUGUUGGUUUCUAGGAUCGACGUAAUGAUUAAUAGGGAUAGUUGGGGGUCAUUAGUAUUCAAUUGUCAGAGGUGAAAUUCUUGGAUUUAUUGAAGACUAACUACUGCGAAAGCAUUUGCCAAGGAUGUUUUCAUUAAUCAAGAACGAAAGUUAGGGGAUCGAAGACGAUCAGAUACCGUCGUAGUCUUAACCGUAAACUAUGCCGACUAGGAAUCAGACGAUGUUAAUUUUUUCAAUGACUCGUUUGGUACCUU